rnacentral:sRNA from 1 species
GAACCGCACCCGACCAAUCAUGCGCGCGGCAGGAGCGGGGGAACCAGGUGAAACGCCGUCCGGGAUCUUUCCGGAACGGCUCGGGGUGAAGCCGUACCCGUACGGCCGGACAUCUCCAGUCCGAACCCGACAGCUCACCUCGCAGGCGCCGGAGAGGAAUU